rnacentral:rRNA from 1 species
CCCGGCGACCGGCGCACGGGUGAGUAACGCGUAUGCAACUUACCUAUCAGAGGGGGAUAACCCGGCGAAAGUCGGACUAAUACCGCAUGAAGCAGGGGCCCCGCGUGGGGAUAUUUGCUAAAGAUUCAUCGCUGAUAGAUAGGCAUGCGUUCCAUUAGGCAGUUGGCGGGGUAACGGCCCACCAAACCGACGAUGGAUAGGGGUUCUGAGAGGAAGGUCCCCCACAUUGGUACUGAGACACGGACCAA